rnacentral:rRNA from 1 species
AUUGAACGCUGGCGGCAGGCUUAACACAUGCAAGUCGAGCGGAGAUGAGGUGCUUGCACCUUAUCUCAGCGGCGGACGGGUGAGUAAUGCCUAGGAAUCUGCCUGGUAGUGGGGGACAACGUUUCGAAAGGAACGCUAAUACCGCAUACGUCCUACGGGAGAAAGCAGGGGACCUUCGGGACUUGCGCUAUCAGAUGAGCCUAGGUCGGAUUAGCUAGUAGGUGAGGUAAUGGCUCACCUAGGCGACGAUCCGUAACUGGUCUGAGAGGAUGAUCAGUCACACUGGAACUGAGACACGGUCCAGACUCCUACGGGAGGCAGCAGUGGGGAAUAUUGGACAAUGGGCGAAAGCCUGAUCCAGCCAUGCCGCGUGUGUGAAGAAGGUCUUCGGAUUGUAAAGCACUUUAAGUUGGGAGGAAGGGUUGUACGUUAAUACCGUGCAAUUUUGACGUUACCGACAGAAUAAGCACCGGCUAACUCUGUGCCAGCCGCCGCCGUAAUAC